rnacentral:lncRNA from 10 species
GGCAUGGACAAAUCUUCAGUACCCUGCCCACGUUAGAUGUUUUAGAGCAUCCAUUUAUCCAUGUUGGUUUUAGAUUUCUGCCCAAGGAAGCCUAAAGUCAACAUUACUGUGAUCAAAUGGAGCUCACAUUUCUCCUGCCUGGAAAUACCUAUAAUUCCUUAAAACAAUGUUUCAAUUUACCACAAGUCUGGUGGCAUUUCAAAGUGUAAUAAAAAACCCACCAUCCUUUUCCUGCCUCCCACUCUUGGUGUUCUGGAGAAGACUGCGGAACACACACGGACUUUUAAUCAAGGGGAGACGGCUCUUCCUCUGUUUUGUGUACCUUUGUCUUUCCUGGAGUAGAGUGCUGUGAUAAACCUACAGAUGCCGGUGACUCAGGCUGGGUCAUGGGAAGAAGUGGGCGAGUCGGAGCCAGAUGAAUUUGUGGUGUGCUUUCCUAUCCAGCUGACAUGUUGCAGAGGUUAAGUAUGGUGGAGUUUUAGGCCAAUUUGGAGCCAUUCAUUUACUCAGUGAGCUUCAUCAACCCAUCCCUCACCCACCAUGUGCCUGCAUUUGCACUGGUGUUUGGCAGGUACAUCUCGACCUGUUAAAAUAUUGAACUACUUUCACACUGGUUGUCAAGUAACCACUGCCUGGAUACCUUCCAACCUCCCCAAGGGCUUGUGUCCAUUCUAAUUGGUUAGUUUCUGUUAUUACACUGAUUGCUGAAUAGUUGACACCCCAGAUUAUGGAACAAUUAAAACAAAUCCUCUCCCAACAAGGGGGUGGCAGAUGCCAUGCCUUCCUUUCCCUGGAAAAUUCCCCAUGACUCUUUCAGGAUGCAAGGAGGCCCCAACUGCUAUUUUUGUUUAGGUGAUUGAGAAAACCAAGUGUGGAGAAGAAACUCCGUUGACGUGAUAAAAAGAGCAGAAUUAAUAUUUGCUAUCUCUUUUUCUGGUGCCAAGAAAGUUACUGGAAUAAUUCAACCAGAUAAAAUAAGUAGAUAUGUGACUUUAAAAAGAUGAAGUUUGUACAAUGAGGCAGAUGCCAUCUGGCCCAGGAGGAAUUUAGUGAUGGCGGCAUCAUUCUCAUUAAUGUCAGAACUGCCCGGGGUUGUUGUCUAUUUGUACAGUCUAGGGAGAUGUUGAAGGCAAAAUUCAGAAAGCAAUUCUAAUUCUGAGGUUUUCAAUCCUGAACCCACAGUUGAUCACCAUAGGCAUGCCCAUACUGGAAACCUCGCAUUAGUUUCUGUAUUUUUUUCCUGGUGAUAUGUGAUCAAUACAAAGUAUUUGAAUACCUGAUGUUACAUACUUUCCCCCAUCUCAGCCACCACUAACCCUUCCCCUCAUCCUCCUCAAGGGAACCUUCAUUAAUGAUUUCAUGUGCUCCUUUUCUGGCCUUUCUAAUGCCUAUAUAUCAACCUAUAUUUUAAUGCUUAACAUAUAGUGUCUAUAAUCUGCUUCUUUUCACUUACUGUAUGGCAGACAACUUCUGUAGCAGAUGAUAUGGUGUGCUCUCAGAUGCUGCUUCAGAGUGAAGGCACUCAUUCCCCGGCUGUCAGGAAGCUGACUGGUGAUGGGUCACAGAUUAAUAGUUUCCUUUGUAUUUCUUUUCCUCCUGGAUCAACCCUGUUCAACAGAAGUAUAUCAAGGCCACAUUUGUGAUUUAAACUUUUCUAGCAGCCAUGAAGGCAUGACUCAUUGGGGAUCAUCUUAGAAUCCUGCUUACCACACACGUUAAAAAAGGUUUAAAGAAGCAAAAUUAGUUUUAAAAAAAUGCGUUGUUAUUAUUUUAUAGAGACAGGGUCUCACUAUGUUUCCUAGGCUGGUCUCAAACUCCUGGGCUCAAGCAAUCCUCCUGCCUCAGCUUCCCAAAGUGCUGAGAUACAGUGUGAGCUACUGCAUCAGGCUCCAGAUUAAUUUUAACAAUACAUUUUACUGGAUCUAAUAUAACCAGAAUAUUAUCAUUUCAAAAUAUAUUUGGAGUAAAAAUGAUUAUGGAUAUAUAUAUAGAGAGAGUGUAUUUUGAAAGCCAGUGUGUGUUUUAUACUUAGAGCACGUCUCAGUUCGCACCAGCCACAUUUCAAGGGUUUGACAGCCACGUGUACUAGUAGUGGCUGCUGCACUACACGGUGCACUUCUAGAGGGUUCAAAGUUUCCAUUAAAAUUGUAUUCUAGGACACCAGCCAAAAUGGCAAAUAAGGAUCUCCGAAAAUUCCCUCCUCCAUAAAAGCAACAAGAACAUUAUCAAAAAAUGUCAGAAUCAACGUUUUCAGAACUUUGGAAAUUAACCAAAGGCUUGCAGCAAUCUGGGAAACAUUUAUUUAAGAAAACAGCAGAAUCUUGGUAAGAACAGGGAGCUUUGUGGCACUUUAACUUGCCGUAUUCCCAUCCCCACCCUCCCCAGCACCACAUUAGCUGUGAAAUCCAACAGCCUGCAAAACGACCUGUGACCACAGGGGAAAGUCCGGCAGUCACUGGAAGGGCUUAGAGCUCCUCAAGGCCCAUUCUCGGAGAAUUGUCAUUAUUUGACCUCUCUGGUCACACUACUUGCAAGGCUGUUUUUAUUUGAGCUGACUUAGAGCUCAUCCAGCACAAAUAAAAGCAGCCUUGAGAGUAGGGUCAAUUAUUGAACCUCACAGCUGACUGAGGUAGUGGAUAACAAGUGGGAUAGACAAUGUGCUAACCAAAAAACAUAAAAGAAAAAGCAGAGGAAUGGGAUGUCCUUGGAGAGAGUGGGCGCUUUAAAAAGUUCUAACAAUAUUCCUGGGAAUAUAGAAAGCCAUACAAAUGUUUAGGGCUGUGUGGACACCCAGUGCUGUGUGUGUGCCCAGGAAAUAUCCAAGAAGACCCUGGCUCUCACCUCUGGCCAACCUUGAGCCUCUGCUGAAGCAGGAAGUGAAGGCUAAGAUGGAGCUGUAAGGUGCUUGGCUGAAUGCUGAAGGAAACACACGCAGAACUUCUUGGUAAAGACUGAGAGUCUUAUUGGUUCCAGUCAUCUAAGGAAGUCUUUGUUGAAUCAUUAAAUGACCACUAAGCUAACUGGUCGAGACUCACUGGCCACACAAAACAAAGAAUAUACCUUUAUAGAAUUAGUUCAGGAAAGUCACCAACCAUCCAACCAAACAAUACCAAUUAAAUAGUAACAACAACAAACCCAGGGCAAAAUCUGAUUUCCAGAGUUGCUAUGUUAUAUUGUUUUAAAAGUCUAGUUUUUACCAAAAAUUAUGAAACACGCCAAGAAACAAGAGAGUCUGUCUCAUAUGCAGGGAAAAAGACACUCAAUAGAAACUGUCCCCAAGAGGGCACAGACACUGGAUUUUCUAUACAAAGACUUAAAUCAACUAUGUUAAAUAUGUUUUAAAAACCCUAAAAAACUAAAGGAAACCGUGGCUAUACAGGGAAAAAUGUCUCAUAUACAGAAACUCCUAAGGAAUCCACAAAACACAAGAUCAAUAUACAAAAAUCAAUUUUGUUUCCGUAAGCUAGCAGUGAACAACACAAAAAUGAAAUUAAGAAAAACAAUUCCACUUAGUAUCCAAAAAUGUUUAGGAAUAAAUUUAAUGAAAGAAGUGUAAGACUUUUAACUGAAAACUCUCAAACAUUGGUGAAAGAAAUUAAAGAAGACCUACAUAAAUGGAAAGACAUUCCUGUGUUCAUGGACUGGAAAAUGGCAAUUUUCUCCAAAUUGAAAUCACUAUAAAAAUUCCAGAUGCUGGGCUUUUUUUUUGUUUUGUUUUGUUUUAGAAAUUGAGAAGCUGAUUCUAAAAUUCAUAUAUAAAUUCAAGGGAUCCACAAUAGCUAAAACAAUCCUGAAAAAGAAUAACAAAAUUGGAGGACUCACAUUUCCCAGUUUCAAAACAUAAGCUACAGUAAUCAAGACUGUGUGGUUCUGACCUAAGGAUAGACAUAGACAAUGGAAUAGAAUUAAAAGUCCAGAAAUAAACCCAUAUAUUUAUAGUCAAUUGAUUUUCAACAAUAGUGCCAGGACAUUCAAUGGGGGGAAAAUAGUCUUUUCAACAACUGGUGCUGAGAUAACUGGAUAUCCACAUGCACAAAAGAAGAAAUUGGAUCCCUUACCUUACACCAUAUACAAAAUUUAACUCAAAAUGGAUCAAAGACUUUGCUGUAAGACUCUUAGGAGAGAGCAUAGAUGUAAAUAAUCAUUACCUUUAAUUAAGCAAGUUUCUUGGCUAUGACACUAAAAGCAUAAGCAAUCAAAGAAAAAAUAGAUAAAUUGGACUUCAUCAAAAUUUUAAAAAUCUGUGCUUCAAAGUACACGAUCAAGAAAGGAAAAAGACAAGUCACAGAGUGGGAGGAAAUAUUGUUGAAUCACAUGUCUGAUAAGGGUCUAGUAUCCAGAAUAUAUUGUUGGGGCUCAGAAAACAUUACCCCCAAAUAGGACACUUUGACAUGAAGCAACCUCGAGGUCUCUCUGACCUCCCUGGUCCCUGCACCCGACUAUUCCUCUGUCUCUCUCAAAGCACAGAAUGUAGUUGUUCACUGAAAUUCCCUUAUCUACCUAGACACUGAACCUACUAAAGAGAAACACAAUUGCCUUCCCUGAAAUUUAACUAGAGAAGAAUAAACUCAUAACACAGAGGAAGAGAUUGAAAAUUAAACACCAGACAAACUUUGUCCCAAACCACUGUCUUCUCUCUGUCCCAUUCAAUUUCCAAAGAAAACUAUUUACUAACCAUUGUCUGAGCAUUAGACCCAUUCAUUUCCCCUAAAAAUCAUUUACUAUCCCUCAAAUCAGCCACAUUUCCCCAUGUUCUUUUUCCCUAUGAAGAAGAAUAUAUAAGCAUGUGUAUCCCUUUGGGUUACUGGGUAAUUAUUCUCCUGCAAUUCCAAUGUGAUGUGUUAAAAUAAAUCUGUAUGCUUUUUUCUUCUAUUAAUCUGCCUUUGUCAGUUUAUUUUCAGCAAACCUUCAGAGGGUGAUGGGGGAAGAGUUCUCUUCUUCCCCCUAUAAUAUAAAGGACUAUUACAACUCAACAAUUAAAAGACAACCCAGAUUAAAAGUGGGCACUAUAGUCGAAUACAUAUUUUUCCAGUAAAGAUAUACAAAUGGCUAAUGAGCACAUGAAUAGAUGCUCCAUAUCAUUAGUCACAGGGAACUGGAAGUUAAAACCACAGUGAGAUAUCAUGUCACAUUCACUAGAAUGACUAUUAUCAAAGACAGUCAAUAACAAGUGUUGCCAAUAUGGAGAAGCUGAACCCUCCAUACAUUACUGGUAGGAAUAGAAAACUGUGAAGCUGCUUUGGGAAAGAGUUUGACAGUUCCUCAAAAAGUUAAACAUAGAGUUUUCAUGUGACUCAGUUGUUCCACUCCUAGGUACAUACUCAAAAGAAAUGACAUUUGCCCACAAGAAACCUUGUAUGUGAAUGUUCAUAGCAGCAUUAUUCAUAAUAGCUAGAAAAUAAAAACAAUCCAAAUGUCCAUCAACUAGUGAACAGAUAAACAAAAGGUGGUGUACCUAUCUAAUGGAAUACUUUUCAGCCAUAAAAAGGAAUGAAAUACUGAUUCAUGAUACAACAGGAAUGCACCUUAAAAACACUGUGCUAAAUUAAAGAAGCCAGACAUCAACAGCCACAUACUGUAUGAUUCCAUUUACAGUAGCCCCCCCUUUUCUGCAUUCCAAGAUCCCCACUGGAUGCCUGGAACUACAGAUAGUACCCAACCCUAUGUAUACGAUGUUUUUCAAUCUGAUAACCAAGAUGGCUACUAAGUGACUAACAAGCAGGUAGUGUAUGCAGUAUGGAUAUGCUGGACCAAGGAUGAUUCACAUCCCAGGUGGGACAGCACAAAAUUUCAUCAUGCUACUCAGAAUGGCGUGCAAUGUAAAGCAUAUGAAUUCUUUACUUCUGGAAUUUUCUACUUAAUAUUUUCUGAUCAUGAUUGACCAUGGGUAACUGAAACUACAGAAAAUGGAAAGUGCGGAUAACGGGAACUAUUGUAUAUAAAAUGUCUAGAAGAGGCAAAUCCAUAGAUACAGAAAGAUUUGUGGCUGCCAGGACCUGGGCGUGGGG